UACGUAGGGGGCAAGCGUUGUCCGGAAUCAUUGGGCGUAAAGAGCGUGUAGGCGGCCAGAUAAGUCCGCUGUGAAAACUCGAGGCUCAACUUCGAGCUGUCGGUGGAAACUUUCUGGCUAGAGUCCGGAAGAGGAGAAUGGAAUUCCUGGUGUAGCGGUGGAAUGCGCAGAUAUCAGGAAGAACACCCGUGGCGAAGGCGGUUCUCUGGGACGGUACUGACGCUGAGACGCGAAAGCGUGGGGAGCGAACAGG
rnacentral:rRNA from 1 species